GAUUAAUUAUCAGGGAUGGGAAUACCUGUGUCAAAAUAACCGUUGUGGAAAAUUCUUGCUCAAAAAGGCUGAGAUCAACUAGCACUUCCAUGCAAUGAUUGUUCUCCAGACUAGAUGGAUUAACAGACUAUAAGAAUUAAACCAGAUUUUAAGGCAUCUUAUUACAGUACAGAACCAGCAAACUGAAGAAACUUCUACAAAGACCUUGAAAGAAACCUUUCCUUCCUUCUUCAACAAUUUCUGGA